AAGCACCGUUUCUCAUCUAUCACCGCGCUGCUGCUGCUGCUGCUUCUUCUUCGUCAUCGUCGUCGUCGUCGUUUCUUGAUGUUCUUCGCUCGAUGGUCGGCAAAAAGAGCAUUCUCUUCUUUUUUGGUCGAUCCCGCCGACACCGACCCUCCAGGAUUAUUGACUUUUAUACCUGUACCUUUCUCUUAGGUUCUAUUUCUUCAAAUGAACGCACCCUCAACACAUUUGCUAUUAACUGGGGAAAAGCAGUUGACGACACGCACCUGGACGCGGAAUCCAAUUGCGUUGGAAGACCAUACGUGAAACGCGCUGUCGGUUGCAGGUCAUCUCGAUAAUUGUCGUGAUCGUGGUGGUGGUCUCGUAGCGUUGCGUGCUGCACCAGAUUUCGUGGUUUCACCAGUCACGAUCAUCCAUGCUUCUUCUCUCAAAAUCAUGUGUCGUUUAUACGAGCCUUCAAGGGCCAAUUCCCUGGCGUGCUGCGUAUGGACUUGCGUAGUCGACGACGCGGCAGGCGCAACUCAUACGCUCGAUACCCGGGGAGUCUAAGCGGUAGGAGCGACUCCAGCUCUGUGAUCGAAGAGAAGAAUCGUUUAGCGCUGUAGGCAAGAAGGCGCAUGCGCCGGGUUACCAUGGCUGGCGCUCUGGUCUAUGGCGACAAUCGAGUACUCGCAGGAUAGCUAGCCCGAUGCAGCGCUCCGGCACCGUUCACGAUUCGAUGUCAUGGUGCAUACUGUGGACAGCUGGGUGCAUGCAGCGCCUCAAGUUGCUUACUACGCGCAUUCAUGCUGCUGAUACCUGACGAGGAUGCGGCUGCGCUCCAUGCGGGAGGUUUUCCGCCCGAGCAUCGAGCGACAUGCCGGUUUGAUGCGCACGAAUCGUGGUGCGCUGUUUGUUGGUAUGCGAUGGCAGCUGAGAACGCAAAGAGGCACGAAUCUAACUCAAGUCGUUGCUGUCCAGUGCAAACCGAUAUGUCAUGUCCAGGAAGGAGCAGAAGUUGACUCUGCAGGCCAUUCGGUUGUGACCCGGUUCCCGUUCGGGUGGUUUCGAUGGAGAACUGAAACCCGCUAUUUGCGCAGCAAAUCGCCUCUACCGUCCUGGUUGACGCGAUAUGAGAGCAACGAGAACAGCGUGCCAAUUUGCCGGAGGAGCGCAACUGUGCUGCGAGAGCGACUUUAUGCAGUCACUAGCGUACGCGUUGCGCUCGUCGUUAUCUACUGGCCGUGGCGACCCGCCGAGCGAACAAUGGCGUCCAGCGUUUUAUCAUCGGCAGCGCCCUUUGAGGCGAGCCUCUGAUGCUGUUCGUGAGAACGCCAGCAAAUCAAUACCUCGAGCGGUAGCGGCACACUCGCCGCUACUGAUGCUCGCCCACGCAUCCAAAUCCUCGGGCACGAUUCCCGUCACGAAUUCAACAGAAACCACGAUCCAUCUUUUGCAAUGCAAUCCAACAACCUUGGACGUUAUGUUUUACGAAGCAGCUUGCUUUACUCGUGACCGAUUCACCAGUCCAUGGCAGCCGGUGGCAGCGGCACCUCGUCGCUCCACGACUUUCGCACCACAAAAUCGAACGGCCCUGCCACCGCCCCCCAGAGCUGUUCAUGCGUUUGUGGGCAACGGCCGAUAUCCAGUGCCGUGCAGCGCGACUCCGAGAGCGUCAUUUGUGCAUCGAGAUAGCUGUCGCGAUCACCACGUCGUACCAUGCACUUGCAUCCAGGUCGAGUUUUGCAUCGGUACAGCUGUUCGGCUUCGACCCAUUCGAAGACGGCAUUGCAUGCUUCCGGCAAUUUCACGCAUCGAUUGGUGUGCCGGGGAUGCGCCUGUCGAACGAGCUCUGCGAGCUUGCUGCGAUCGAAAGCAGCCGUGUAGAACUGUUCAACGCCUUCGACUUUGUAGGACUCCGUUUCCAACGCACCGUCGCUAUUUCGCGUGAUUUUGAUAAUAGUCGCCCGAUACGGAAGCUUCGGUGCAUAGGUGUAAAUCGAUUCCACGUAAAAGGCG
rnacentral:misc_RNA from 1 species